GCUAAGAUCAAGUGUAGUAUCUUCUUAUCAGUUUAAUAUUUGAUAUGUGGGCCAUGUGUCCACAACGAUAUUAAAUUUAUUUUUUGUGAGGGAGGGUCCAUCACAGCGGCUUGCCAUUGGGGUCCUCAGGUGUUGCACUGCAGUCCAGGCAGGCGCACCCCAACCAAAACUAAGUUAAAUUUUUUAAAUUCCUUCAAAAUCAAAGUUAUAACUAUUCCCUUAAAACCUCCUUUGCAGGGAGGGGUUCUUAACGCGCAGCAGGAAAACGGAAACACCACCAUCCUGAACUUGUUGCAGCUAUGAUGGAGCAAACCGAAGAUUCAGAACAUUGAUGUAUCGUAGCAGCUAAACAAACAACUCGAGGAGUCCCAGCAGCAUCUGUUUUUUCAAUCGCUUCCAUCAUCCAUGUGAUGUGUUGAGCCACGACUGAGUAGUGUCUGCCUGCCCAACUUCAGGAACUUGUUCACAUAAACUUGUUUACCCGUUUGUAAGUGCACAAGAACAAGACUAAUGUGUCAGUAAUGUAGAAGAAUAAA